GGGUUGUGAGGUUAAGCGACUAAGCGUACACGGUGGAUGCCUAGGCAGUCAGAGGCGAUGAAGGGCGUGCUAAUCUGCGAAAAGCGUCGGUAAGCUGAUAUGAAGCGUUAUAACCGACGAUACCCGAAUGGGGAAACCCAGUGCAAUACGUUGCACUAUCGUUAGAUGAAUACAUAGUCUAACGAGGCGAACCGGGGGAACUGAAACAUCUAAGUACCCCGAGGAAAAGAAAUCAACCGAGAUUCCCCCAGUAGCGGCGAGCGAACGGGGAGGAGCCCAGAGUCUGAAUCAGUUUGUGUGUUAGUGGAAGCGUCUGGAAAGUCGCACGGUACAGGGUGAUAGUCCCGUACACCAAAAUGCACAGGCUGUGAACUCGAUGAGUAGGGCGGGACACGUGACAUCCUGUCUGAAUAUGGGGGGACCAUCCUCCAAGGCUAAAUACUCCUGACUGACCGAUAGUGAACCAGUACCGUGAGGGAAAGGCGAAAAGAACCCCGGCGAGGGGAGUGAAAUAGAACCUGAAACCGUGUACGUACAAGCAGUGGGAGCACCUUCGUGGUGUGACUGCGUACCUUUUGUAUAAUGGGUCAGCGACUUAUAUUUUGUAGCAAGGUUAACCGAAUAGGGGAGCCGUAGGGAAACCGAGUCUUAACUGGGCGUCUAGUUGCAAGGUAUAGACCCGAAACCCGGUGAUCUAGCCAUGGGCAGGUUGAAGGUUGGGUAACACUAACUGGAGGACCGAACCGACUAAUGUUGAAAAAUUAGCGGAUGACUUGUGGCUGGGGGUGAAAGGCCAAUCAAACCGGGAGAUAGCUGGUUCUCCCCGAAAGCUAUUUAGGUAGCGCCUCGUGAACUCAUCUUCGGGGUAGAGCACUGUUUCGGCUAGGGGGCCAUCCCGGCUUACCAAACCGAUGCAAACUCCGAAUACCGAAGAAUGUUAUCACGGGAGACACACGGCGGGUGCUAACGUCCGUCGUGAAGAGGGAAACAACCCAGACCGCCAGCUAAGGUCCCAAAGUCAUGGUUAAGUGGGAAACGAUGUGGGAAGGCACAGACAGCCAGGAUGUUGGCUUAGAAGCAGCCAUCAUUUAAAGAAAGCGUAAUAGCUCACUGGUCGAGUCGGCCUGCGCGGAAGAUGUAACGGGGCUAAACCAUGCACCGAAGCUGCGGCAGCGACACUUAGGUGUUGUUGGGUAGGGGAGCGUUCUGUAAGCCGUUGAAGGUGACCUGUGAGGGUUGCUGGAGGUAUCAGAAGUGCGAAUGCUGACAUAAGUAACGAUAAUGCGGGUGAAAAACCCGCACGCCGGAAGACCAAGGGUUCCUGUCCAACGUUAAUCGGGGCAGGGUGAGUCGACCCCUAAGGCGAGGCUGAAAAGCGUAGUCGAUGGGAAACAGGUUAAUAUUCCUGUACUUGGUGUUACUGCGAAGGGGGGACGGAGAAGGCUAGGCUGGCCGGGCGACGGUUGUCCCGGUUUAAGCGUGUAGGGGGAGUGACCAGGUAAAUCCGGUUGCUUAUCAACCCUGAGGCGUGAUGACGAUGCACCACGGUGCAGAAGCAGUUGAUGCCAUGCUUCCAGGAAAAGCCUCUAAGCAUCAGGUAACAUUAAAUCGUACCCCAAACCGACACAGGUGGUCAGGUAGAGAAUACUCAGGCGCUUGAGAGAACUCGGGUGAAGGAACUAGGCAAAAUGGUGCCGUAACUUCGGGAGAAGG
rnacentral:rRNA from 1 species